UACGUAGGCAGCAAACGUUGUUCGGAGUUACUGGGCGUAAAGAGUACGUAGGCGGUUUGCCAAGUUUGGUGUGAAAUCUCCUGGCUUAACUGGGAGGGUGCGCCGAAUACUGGCGGGCUUGAGUAUUGGAGAGGAAAGCGGAAUUCCUGGUGUAGCGGUGAAAUGCGUAGAUAUCAGGAGGAACGCCGGUGGUGUAGACGGCUUUCUGGACAAUCACUGACGCUGAGGUACGAAAGCGUGGGUAGCAAACAGG
rnacentral:rRNA from 1 species